UACAGAGGUCCCAAGCGUUGUUCGGAUUCACUGGGCGUAAAGGGUGCGUAGGCGGUCGGGUAAGUCUGACGUGAAAUCUCCGAGCCUAACUCGGAAACUGCGUCGGAUACUAUUCGGCUAGAGGAAUGGAGGGGAGACUGGAAUUUACGGUGUAGCGGUGAAAUGCGUAGAUAUCGUAAGGAAGACCAGUGGCGAAGGCGGGUCUCUGGACAGUUCCUGACGCUGAGGCACGAAGGUCAGGGGAGCAAACGGG
rnacentral:rRNA from 1 species